GACAGCAUGGAUGGACCUGGAGAACAUUAUGCUAAGUGAAAUAGUUUCUUGACAUGAAAACCUAGAUCAACUUCAGCCUUUCUCUUAUGUGUGAAUUUAAGGGGCCAAGAUGAUUUUAGAGAUUCAGUUAUGCCUUAUGUUUU